rnacentral:misc_RNA from 1 species
UGUAGGAGUGAGCCUGCUCGCGAUAGCACUGUGUCAGUCAACUGAUACUUAUCUGACACACCCCUAUCGCGAGCAGGCUCACUCCUACA